GAAAGUGUCAAAAGAAGGCUUUCCAAGCUCCCCAAUAUUUCCUCCUGCUAACUACAAUUUUAAGAAGUCACCCACCAGCCUUAGCAGGGGAAGAAGAGACAUUUCUGCUGGCAAGAGGCAGGCAAGAGGCAACCAUGAGGUGAGCAGCUUUGCUCUACCACUCGCUCCCUGUCAUGUGGAUCCAGCUGACCAUGGACAAAAAACUAUUGGUGUCAGAAGUGGAGUCUAAAGUAGAAUUUCAGUAGACUUUGGGGAAUUCCUUGGUCCUCCUGGACCAAGACCAAGCAAGAUACCCACCCAAGGUUCAAAGUACCUAUUGCUCUCUCAAAAC